GUUUAUUUUCUUUUUCUUCCGCCUUUCCCCAUUUCAUUCUCUGCAUCUCCGUUAGGAAAAAUAUUAUUUAUAUUUUUUGCUUCCAACUUUAGUUGAUCAUACUUUUAUACUUUCUAGAAUUGAGAUGUGAUUGAUGGCUCUAUUAUUUGAGCUGGGAGUAGUUCAAUUUAUAUCGUGAGAACUCUUAAACUUUGGGUUUAGUUAAAAUCGAAUACAGCCAGGUGCCUUUUUAAAAUUGAACUCAAAUUUGAGCAGUCGAUGUCCUUUUUUAAGCUGCAUCAUAUUAAACUAAUAAGUGCGUCCAGAACAGUUCAAAAUCUAAGCCUUUGUAGUAUUACCUUUGUUGGGAAAAACACCCCCCUUGGAUAGCCCAAAGAUCAAACAAAGUUGACAAUGUAAAAAUUUCCAAACCACUUCUAGAACAAGAAAAUGACGAAGAAAUGAUUUCAAUGGAAUAUAUGAAUAACAAUGUAUUUGGAUUACUUGAACAAGCCUUCAAAUUAAUCCCCAAGAAAGAAAAUAACUUUGAAUUUAUACCCAAGAUGAACAACCUUCAAUCUUCUCAGCUUCUCUUCUUCUCUUCUCUUCUCAGCUUCCCCUUCUCAGCUUCUCUUCUUCUCUUCUCUUCUCAGCUUCCCCUUCUCAGCUUCUCUUCUUCUCACAAUUCUCCACCUCGUACAUCAUUUGAUAGACCUCAAAUUUUGGACGAACACAAGAAGAAUAAGCAAGCACCAAAAAAAAAAUUCGGCUGCAUCAUUCAAACCAUGAUUACCUACGUACCCAAAACUCGGGAUCAAGCCUCUGUAGUUCACAUCCACGUUCAUAUACACUCCACCUCAUUUCAACCCCGCCCCAAAGGGCCAUGCCCUCUCGGGCAUAUCAACACGGACUAAUGUGAAGUAAGUCCAAGCAAUGUUGAAACUUGCUACCCGUUACCACUUUGGUUAACAUGUCAGCUGGGUUCUCAUUUGUGUGUACCUUCGAGAGUGAAAUAUCACCUUCCUCUAUGACAUCACGCACAAAAUGAUACCUGAUGUCGAUGUGCUUGGUUCGAGCAUGAUGAACCUGAUUCUUAGCUAAGUGAAUCGCACUCUGGCUAUCACACCACAAGUCCACACAAUCCUGCUCAAUCCCCAAAUCAUCUAGAAGACCCCACAACCACAAUGCUUCUUUCACUCCCUCUGCCAUGGCCAUAUACUCGGCCUCUGUAGUAGAAAGAGCAACUGUAGCCUGUAACAUCGAUCGCCAACUAACUGGGGCACCAUGUAUGCAAAACACAUAUCCAGUAGUAGACCGUCGUCUGUCUAGAUCACUAGCAUAAUCCGAGUCCACAAACCCACUUAUAUGACAUGCAUCUCCACCAAAACAUAAACCCGUAUCCGCGGUACCUUUUAAGUACCUCAGGAUCCACUUCACAGCUUCCCAGUGUGCCUUCCUCGGAUUCGCCAUGAAUCUACUGACCACACUCACCGCCUGUGAAAUAUCUGGGCGUGUACACACUAUGGCAUACAUUAAACUACCAACUGCACUAGCAUAAGGCACACGAUCCAUGUGUACCUUUUCUUCCGCUGUAGUAGGAGACUGUUAACCAGAGAGCCUGAAAUGUGGAGCCAAUGGAGUUAUCACUGACUUUGCACCUUGCAACCCGAACCUAGCAAUAACCCACUCAAUGUAGCCUUUCUGAUUCAAGAACAUUCGCCGGUUCAUCCUCUCUCUUCUAAUCUCCAUACCCAGUAUUUUCCUAGCAGCCCCCAUAUCCUUCAUCUCAAACUCUUUACCAAGUUGAGAUUUCAACUUAUCUAUCUCCACCUUGCUUUUCGAGGCGAUAAGCAUGUCGUCCACAUAGAAUAGAAGAUAGAUAUAGUUACCUCCCCGAAGUUUUCGAAUAUAAACACAACAGUCAUACUCACUUCUGGAGAAACCAUGCUUUAGCAUGAAGGAGUCAAAUCGCUUGUACCACUGCCGAGGAGAUUGCUUCAAUCCAUAUAAUGAUUUUCUCAAGCGACAUACCUGACGUUCCUUAUCCUCAACCUUGUAGCCCUCAGGUUGAUGCAUAUAUAUCUCCUCAUCCAAGUCCCCGUGCAAGAAGGCGGCUUUGACAUCGAGUUGUUCCAGCUCAAGAUCUUGAUGAGCAACAAUACUCAAUAGCACCCGAAUGGAAGUGUGCUUGACCACAGGAGAAAAGAUCUCAUUGUAGUCAACUCCCUCUCUUUGUGCAAACCCCUUAGCCACUAACCUUACUUUGAAUCUUGUACCACCGAGCUUGGUAGGAUCCUCCUUCUUUUUAUACAACCACUUGCAACCAAUAGCUUUCUUACCUAUGGGCAAUGGAACAACCUCCCAUGUUUGGUUCUUGUGAAGUGAUUCCAUCUCUUCUUCCAUUGCUGCCAACCAACUCUCGCUAUUGUUGUUUAAAAUAGCUUCCUUGAAAGUGGUAGGCUCAUCAUCCUUCACUGAGAGUGCAUACUCAACCAAAUUUAUCUACCCAUAGUGCUUCAAAGGCUCGUUUGACCCCAACAUUAGAACUUGCUUGUAAGUACGGCGUGGCCUAGAGGAAGCCAAGUUAUCUGCAAGCUGCUGUUGUUGCUGUGCCUGUACAUUCUCUUGCUGAAUCGCCUCUUGUUCAAGCUCAUCAUCAUUCUCAUCUUGAGUGUCUGUAUGAUGCUCCUCUUGAACAUGCCUAGGAUCAGGUUGAUCUCUAGGUUCUAUGUCAACAACUUGAGACAUAGUAGUCUCAACAUCAUCACCACCGAGCACUGUAGCUUUCAACGAAGCUACCAUGGAGUUCUCAUCAAAAGUAAUGUCUCUGCUGAUUAUAAACUUAGAAUCCUCUACACACGAAAGGCGAUAGCCUUUAACACCUGUCGCAUACACCAAGAAUAUAGCCUUCUUGGCUCUCGCAUCAAGCUUUCCCUCGUUCACAUGAUAGUAGGUUGUCCAUCCGAAUGUUCUGAGUUUCUCAUAAUCUGCAUGUUCUCCUGUCAAUACCCUAUAAGGUACAUCUCCAUCUAACCUUGAAUGUGGAGACCGAUUCACUAUGUAGCAAGCAUUUGCAACCGACUUUGCCCACCAUUCUCUGCCCAAACCAGCAUAGGAUCGCAUACACAUCGAUUUCUCUCGAAAUGUGUGGUUCAGUCUUUCCGCGACCCCAUUCUGUUGCGAUAUAUUUCUUACUGUCCAGUUUCUCACAAUGCCUUCCUUACCACAGAACUCCUUGAAAGCACCAUCUGUAUACUCAGUACCAUUAUCAGAUUUCAGUGUCUUCAAUUUCUUUCCUGUUCUGUUUUCAACCAUUACUUUCCACUUCUUGAAAGUGUCGAAUACCUCAUUCUUAUGCUUCAAAAAAUAAAUCCAAGCAUAUCUAGAAUAAUCAUCAACAAAUGUAACAAAAUACCUGGAACCGCCUUUGGAAGUGACAGAAGUCGGACCCCAUACAUCCAUGUGCAUUUCUCUAUCUCAUACUUCCCAAUCUUCACCAUUCCUCUAGUAGACAUGAUUUAUCCACUUUGGCUGGAACUGAACUCGGUGUGCUUUACCGUACUCGCAAUGUCCAUGCAAGGCUUCUUCAAGUUCUUUAGCAAACCUUUCUUGACUAGCAAAUCUAGCCCCUUUUCAGACAUAUGCCCAAGCCUCCUAUGCCAUAGCCGAGUGCACUCACAUGGGUCUCCACCACUUCCACUCGUUCCAACUGCUACAUCUUCAGUAACUGUAGUACCCUGAAGAGGAUAGAGAUUGCCUUCACGAAUACCCUUCAUCACAAUCAAAGAACCACGAACAACCUUCUUUACUCCAUUCCAUGUUACAAUCUUGCAACCAUCGGAGUCUAAGGCACCAACAGAGAUAAGGUUCUUUCGCAAAUCAGGAACAUGUCUAACAUCCACCAAUGGUCUAACCACUCCAUCAUGCAUCUUGAUUCUAAUUGAACCAAGCCCCACCGUUUUACAUGAAUGGUUAUUACCCAUCAACACGGUUCCACCAUCAGUGCUUCUAUAGGUAGUAAACCACUUCCUAUUUGGACACAUAUGGUAAGAGCAUCUAGAGUCAAGAAUUCACUUGCCGGAGGUUUCUUCAUCACAAGAGAUGGUGUAGCACUCAUCGCUUUCCCCUCCUUCCGAGGCAUAGCUUACCUCUUGCUUGACUUGCACCUUUCCGUUGUUGUUGUUCUUAUUGUUCUUCUUCCAACCCUUUUUGUUAGGACAAUUCGCCUUGAAAUGCCCAAGCUCGCCGCAUUUGAAACAAAACCUUUCCGCAAGAGGUCUAGAACUCGAUCUAGAUUUUUCUCCCUUGCCCUUUGGUCGCACAUUGCUUCUACCCCUUACAAAUAAUCCUUGAGCUUGCUCCUUGUUACCAAUGGUAGACAUGCCACUAGUUGCAAUCUUUCGAAGAUCAUUCGCUAGAAGUGACGUUCUAGUGUCCUCCAUCACAAGUUUAUCACCCACAAGCAUUAAUGUUUGUACUAGGUUCUCGUAAGACUUUGGCAAUGAAAGAAGUAGUAGAAGUGCUUGAUCCUCAUCAUCUACAUCCACAUCAAUGUCCUUCAAGUCCGAUAUGAUCCUAUCAAACUUGUUGAUGUACUCCCGGAUUGGUGUACCUUCAUCCAUUUUGCAAGUAUACAAUUUGGACUUCAAAUAGAUCCGAUUUGUUAGAGUCUUCAUCAUGAAGUUCGCCUCCAACUUUGUCCACACCUCCACCGCUGUUACCUCACUAUCAACCAAGAAAGCAACAUCUCUUUCAAGGCAAAGAAUGAUAGACGCUUGUGCCUCAAGAUCUAGCUCUUCCCAAUCCUCGUCCGACAUAUCAACGUGCUUCUUCUCCUUUCCCGCCAAUGCCUUGUGCAACUUUUGAGAAAUCAACAAAUUUUUCAUUUGUAUUCUCCAAUAUGAAAAAUCAUUCUUCCCAUUGCAUUUCUCUAUCUCAUACUUCCCAAUCUUCACCAUUCCUCUAGUAGACAUGAUUUAUCCACUUGUUUACCGAAAAUAAAUCACCAAAGUUCACUUGAAAAUUUUCACAAACACCUUGUGCACAACAAAGUUCAAGCAACUCACCACAAAAUCGAAGCUUAACCACCUUGAUUUCGGAAGAAGCUCUGAUACCAAAUUGUUGGGAAAAACACCUCCCUUGGAUAGCCCAAAGAUCAAACAAAGUUGACAAUGUGAAAAUUUUCAAACCACUUCUAGAACAAGAAAAUGAGGAAGAAAUGAUUUCAAUGAAAUAUAUGAAUAACAAUGUAUUUGGAUUACUUGAACAAGCCUUCAAGUUAAUCCCCAAGAAAGAAAAUAACUUUGAAUUUAUACCCAAGAUAAACAACCUUCAAUCUUGUAAAAUUCUCUCCAAAUUUUCUCUCUUUUCCUCUCUUAUUUUCGGGUGCAAGGGUUGUGACUUAAUGAAAGAGGGAAAAAAAAUUGGCAAUAUAUAUACCUAUCGGAGCGCCUAGGCGCCAUGUUUCUGUCUGGAAACUUACUUGGGGCGCCUAGGCGCCUGGACAUGGCGCCUAGGUGCCCAGUUUCUGCUUCGACAGAAACUGGGCAGCACCUAGGCGCCUACUCCAGCACCUAGGCGCUGCUUGCUCCUUCUCAGCUUCUCUUCUUCUCUUCUCUCCUCUUCUCAGCGUCCCCUUCUCAGCUUCUCUUCUUCUCACAACCUUGUUCUAGUUCCCCUCUCCUCAUCUACUACAUCGAUUUUCCUGUGUUGAUACUGAACACCAGAACAAGUUUUAUAUGAUGGCAUAUUUGGUAGAUUUUGCAUGGCUGGUGUUUUGGUGAAUAUUCAUGAAUGACUUUCAUUUUCGACACUUGCAUUUAGGGAGACGGUCCUUUUUCCAAACUUGCGUUUGUAUUUUGGAUACAAUUGUUUUUCAGCUAGAUUUCUCCAGUGAGUUAACUGGCCGUGAUCAAAGCUAUAGCUUGGUUUUCUGAUGAUUCAUUAAUGUAUUUCCACACUGAGUAUGAUUUUUUGCAAGCUGAUAUUGGUUGAGAAGAGGCCAACUGGCAACUAAAUCUAUUGUCGUCGUGAAUGGUGAUAAAUCCACCCCAUGACAAUUAAUCUGCUAGGCCUUUGUUAUUGAGAAUCUUCACCUGUGAAAAGGUGAAAUUCCCUCCAAAUCAUUUAUUAUACAAUAUCAAAGGGCAUCAUAAACUUGACAUUAAGUUAGCAAUUGGAAACAAGCUGCUCCAUUAAUAUCGUCUGCAUACAGUAAUUUUAAUGCCAUCUUUCGAUAUAAUCUUUGAAAUCGAUGCUUAUGUCGCAAUUCAUUUCAUGCAUAAAUAGUCAUGCUAGAAAUUUCUCACACAUCACGUAUCUCUUGAUUAUCUGAUUGUUGCAAAACGAAAUAUCCAGAAAAUAUAAUAGCUCUCAUUCUUGGUC
rnacentral:lncRNA from 1 species